GCCUUCGUGGUGUAGUGGUCAGCACACUGGACGCGUAACCGAGAGGUCCAUGGUUCGAUUCCCGGUGAAGGCC
rnacentral:tRNA from 1 species